CAGCUCCAAUAGCGUAUAUUAAAGUUGUUGCAGUUAAAAAGCUCGUAGUUGAAUUUCGGGGUCUGUCCGUCGGUCGGGCUUCACGGUCCGUACUGGUGUGAUGGGUUCCUACCUUCUGAAUAACCGGCAUGCCAUUCAGUUGGUGCGCCGGGGAAGCAGAGCUAUUACCUUGAAAAAAUUAGAGUGCUUAAAGCAGGCUAGUGCUUGAAUAGAUUAGCAUGGAAUAAUAAAAUAGGACGGCAUGGUUCUAUUUUGUUGGUUUCUAGGAUCACCGUAAUGAUUAAUAGGGAUAGUUGGGGGCAUUAGUAUUCAAUUGUCAGAGGUGAAAUUCUUGGAUUUAUUGAAGACUAACUUCUGCGAAAGCAUUUGCCAAGGAUGUUUUCAUUAAUCAAGAACGAAAGUUAGGGGAUCGAAGACGAUCAGAUACCGUCGUAGUCUUAACCAUAAACUAUGCCGACUAGGGAUCGGACGAUGUUAAUUUUUUAAUGACUCG
rnacentral:rRNA from 1 species